rnacentral:snoRNA from 1 species
AUCAAGUGAUUGCAGUGAUUAUGAUGAAUCUGAGUGCAUUUGGCUCGAGACUUUCUGUCGGUGUGGAAAAAACCAAGCUACCUUACUUUUUUUUUGACUGAUA